UACGAAGGGGGGCUAGCGUUGCUCGGAAUCACUGGGCGUAAAGGGUGCGUAGGCGGGUCUUUUAAGUCAGGGGUGAAAUCCUGGAGCUCAACUCCAGAACUGCCUUUGAUACUGAGGAUCUUGAGUUCGGGAGAGGUGAGUGGAACUGCGAGUGUAGAGGUGAAAUUCGUAGAUAUUCGCAAGAACACCCGUGGCGAAGGCGGCUCUCUGGGACGGUACUGACGCUGAGACGCGAAAGCGUGGGGAGCAAACAGG
rnacentral:rRNA from 1 species